rnacentral:lncRNA from 1 species
AGCUAAAAUAAGACGCAUGCUGAUUAGAGCUAACUGCAUUCCGGGACAUCCUCUACGACCGGUUCCGAACGGAAUGAGUUCGAAAUCAUGCCCUCGAAGGUCUAUCUUCCUAUCCUUGAAUCUUUCUGGAAAGAACUCUUCGGCAUUGCUCGACCAUAUCUUGGGAUUUCGCCCCAUAGACCAAGUGUUCACCAAAAGCCGCGACUUCUUAGGUAUGAAAUACCCAUUAACGGUGACAUCUUCGGUCGACUCGUGCGGGACUAAUAACGGCGCCACGGGAUGCAACCUGAAACUCUCUUUUAUGACCAUAUCCAAAUAGGCAAGUUUCGGUAGGUCCGACUCUUCUACCAUUCUAUUCCUUCCGACAACACUUUCUAGCUCUUUCUGGAGAGCAACCAUGACUCGAGGAUGCCUUAGAAGUUCUGAAAAUGUCCACUCAAUGGCCGUGGUUGUAGUGUCGAAGGAAGCUGCCACCAUGUCCACCAUUAUAGCCUUGAUGUUUUCUCUACCAACGAUGUAGGGUUGAUCUUCAUCGUUAGGGUUUAUGGGUGUAUCCAACAACGAAACCAUCACUUGAAAGAAAUUUCUAUAAGGUUUUUGGUCAUCCAUGUUAAUCCCUUGUUGGUAUUCAUCUAUCAUUUUGUCAAAAAAUUCGUGAAGGCCACUGCUCACCUUCUUAAGCCUUCUUGUAUAUCCCUGCAGCGUAAAGAUAGAUAUGAUAGAAUCAGUUUUAUAUUAAUUGUAUUGUUCAUUACAAUUAUUCUUUGCGAAAAAACCAACUAGUCAUUCAAUCAAAUAUUAGGACUUCCGUGUUCCAGUCUGCAUCUAAUAAGAUUACUGUACACAAUUUAUUAUACUUUAAAAUUUGUAUUAUUAUUAGUACGAAAAAAUAAAUAAAUUAUGAAAAAGAAAAAUAGUACAUAAAAAACAGGAUAUAAGGAGGAAAAAAAAACGUUACCUGAAGAUCAAGUGGAGCAAGGAAAGGCACAUAAUCCGAGAGAUUGAAAACCCCAGCUAAGUGCAUGGCCUGGCUUAAAAUCGAUUUUAUCAUCCAUGGACCGCCCGAAUAACACUUUCGACAUCAUUCCUUCAAGAACCUUAGCCACCGCCUGGCUAAGUUUUAUUGUUUCACCCGCCGCCGCUACCUUCCUCACUGAUUCAACCAAUAACCCCACCUCCGCCUUCCUUAUCGGGGCAAAACAUUCAACUUUGGAAGCACUGAGGAAAUGCAAAAUACUCCAUUUCCGUACAGUUCGCCAGUAAGAACCGUACUGGGUAAAAGCCAUGGCCUUGCCACCAUAUGCGAAGUAUUUCGCGGAUUGGACUUUAGGCCUGGAAGCAAAAACGACGUCAUGGACCUUGAGGAACAGUUCAGCGGCUUCGGGUGAUGAUACCACGAUGGUUGGUACUUUGCCUAGCAUUAUCGACAUGAUGGGUCCAUAUUUUUUGGCGAGAUAGUGAAGACUUUGGUGUGGGAGGUUCCCUAGCAUGUGGAUGUUACCUACGACGGGAAGAGGGGCAGGACCGGGUGGAAGUUUCCGGCCAUUGUUGUUGCGGUUUGGUGAGCUGAAGAAGUAGAUAAAGGAACAGAGAGUUCCAAGGAGGACGAAGAGUACGGUUAAUGUCGAAGAAGACAUUUGGGAGGGAAGCCAAUCACAAUAGCUGAUAGCCACUGGGGAUUGAUUGAUUGAGUACUUACAGAUGGAAGCAACCGAUGAUAGCCGCAAGGCGGGAGAAUUAGCCAAAUAUGUCGAUUUUAACAAAAACUAGGGAGUAGGAUUUUUUUUUUUAAAUGUAAGGAAAUAAAUUGAUUUUGGCUCAUACAUAGGUAAAAGCUUUGCGGGCUUAUUUUGCCAGUUGAAUUACUUACCAUGGUAAGAAAAUAUUAUUAUAAUUUUUAUUUUAAUUAAUAUUAUUUUUAAGUUGUUAAUGUUAUUAAAUUUUUUAUUUUUUUAUGUUUAUAUAAUCAAGAUGAAGAUUAAAUUAUUGAAAUUUAUAUACACGCAAUUUAAAUAUAAAAUCAUCACGUGUUAUUGAACAAUACAUGAAAGAGAUAUGAUUCUUACACAUGUCUCAUAUGCUCAACGAGACUAAAUUGGAGUCUGCACUUAUCAGUGCUUUGCUAGAGAGAUGGAAAGUUAAAAUAUAUACAUUCCAUAUUUUGUGCGGUGAGUAUAUAAUUACAUUUGAGGAUGUAUCAUUACAACUCAAUUUGUCAAUUGAUGAGACAGUCGUUACGGGAGAUGUACAUGUUGGGAGUUGGAGGUCAAUUUGCCACCAGCUAUUAAGCAAAGUGCCAAACAAAUUGGGAGGUGAAGGUCAAUUUGCCACCUGCUAUUAGGCAAGGUGUCAGACAAUUUAAUGGUAAGCUAUUAUAAGAUUAUAUAUUUAUUUAUACAUUAAUAAUUUUUCUUAUGUAAAAUUUGUACAUUCAUAUAUUUUUAUCCUAUUUAUUUUAUUUCCAUGAUACGAUAUUUUUAACACUUUUGUAUCAUGUUUUAAUUCGAUAAUGUUCAUAGUUUUAUAAAAAAAUUCAAUUUUAUUCUAAAUUCAUCUAUUUAACAAUUAAGAUAUUGCAGAUGCCAUAUAUUUAUAAAAAUAUCCUGUUAAAAAACUUAAUCUUAUUUCAUGAAGCAUAGGGAGUAGGUACUUUCUAGUUCGUAUAAAUUGUUGACCAUAUUAUUUAACACUAAAUUUAUUUUUAAAUAUUUUUAAAAUGGUGAAUAUAACUAGUAGGUCUCUCACAUAUAGGGACUGAACUACUAGAAGUUAAUCUUUGUACUAAUAAAAAAUUAUAUUAUAUUAAAUUAUAAUAAAAUUAAUAUUUAUUUUUAUAUGAAAAUUUUAAUUUUUCGUUUGCAACAUAUUUCAUUUACAAAAUAAAAAAAUAAAAAAUAUUAUUUUAUUAAACAAUAAGACUAACAUUGAUAGCUAGAUUUCUAAAGCUGGAAUUUUUGACAUUGAAUGAAACUUGAACAAAGAAAAUGCAUCUCACGGAAAAGGAAAGAAAAAACAAAGGAUACACGGAUAACGAAAGAAAUUGACAGAGAGUGGCCCUACAUCAUGAUAAUGAUGAUGGGCACCCAAACCGCAAACUUUACUACAAAAUGCCAGAAACACAUAGAGCACAGUCAAAACUCUUGAACGAAAGAGACGAUGGAAUCAGAGGCGGAUUUAGGGGUAGCAGUCACAGCUGCUAAAAUGUAAAAUUAUUAUUUAAGUUUUUAAAUUUUUUAAAAAAAUUUAAAUUAGUAAAAGUAAAAUUAUAUUUCGGCCUCCUUUAUAUUAUAAAAAUUUAAUUUAAUUUUUUAAAAAUUAUAAAGAUAUAGACUAUAAAAAAUUAAAUAUUCAUUCAGCCCCUUAAAAAUUUGUUCUUGUUUCGCCCCUGAAUGGAAUUGGCGAAGGAAAUUAUAACACCCUAAACCCGGCCUAGACGUUAUGGCCGAAUCUAGUGAUGUCACAAGAAUUGAAUUUCGAAAACCAUGUUGACUUGGUAAACCGUUACUAUUUAAAAUUUACUAAAACUGCCAUUUAGUCGGUUUCUCUACCAAAACUUAUUAUAGCGGAAGCUUUAAUCAUUUAAGUUCGAAAACGCAGGCAUGUUUUUAGGAAAAUCACUAGUUGCAUAAAAACCGUUGUUUUAGUAGAACAUUUUUACCAAUGUAGUUAAAUCGUCAAAUGAUCCCGGAAAUAACCAGUUAAACCAAACAGUCCAGAAAGUCCCAAAAAUUACAAAUUCUCAAAACAAAUCUGAAACUUAAUAUAAAACCAUAAAUAAAUUAAUAACUAAAAAAUCGUUUACUGUCAUGUGGUCACCGUUGAGUCUCUUGCCAUACGUCUGUGGAUUACCUGACAGAAAAACAAACAGAUGUGUGUUUACAUAAACUCAGUGUGUAACUCAGCAGAAUUAAGCAUGCAUUCAAACAUCAUCAUAUACACAAUCAGAAACAAAUAGAGAUUCAAAAUCGAGCUCAGACCCUUUACAGAUACAAAUACAGAUACAGUAAACAGAAUCAGAAUCCUACCCCCGUCCUCUACACACCAUAUUCGACCAUCCUAAAACACCAUGUGGGGUUAAAAAAACACUCACCCAUCCCUACACACCAAAUUGUGCCAUUACGACACGUAUCAGAUAUAGUGCAGCCAAACUGCUAGAUAAUAGGUGACUAACGCUGAACAGAUACUUCCUUCGCAUAUACAAACCCACUCUAAAUAGAUACAGAGCACACACACACACACAUAUAUAUAUACAGAAUUAACAGACACAGCAUGCUUAACAGGCUUAUACAAACAGAUAGCAGACAUGAUUAUCACAGUCAUACUCAGAACAAUAUCUCAGUCUAUCAAAUCACAUAGUUUUAGGGUUCAGUUUGUAAUAGCUUGAAUUUCAAUGAUGUCGAAAAUAGUGGUUCGAGACCAUCAAAUCCAACAAAUGAACUCGUAGAUUAUAUUAUUUAAUAUUUACGAGCCAAAUGUAGUUUUUAAAAGAUUUUUGGAAUAGUAAAUUGUGUUUUAUAAAGAUUUAUUUGGUCAAGAAAUUCAGAAAAAGAGGUAUCGAGAUCUCAAUGUUAUAAACCAAGCCAUAAAUAUUUUUAUAAAUAUUUACGAAAUGUCAAUAAGGUAGCAUUAAAAUUUCGUUAGAAAAUUUUGACGUUUGGGUGGUCAAUUAAAUAAAAAGGAUUAAAUUGGAAAAUGUGUAAAAGUUGCUAAAAGGAUUAAAUAGCUCAAUUGUCAAAUGAGGAAGGACCUAAAGUGAAAAUAAGCCCAAAGGAGAUAUUUUGGGCGGCAAUAGCUGAGAAAAAUCAGGAAACGGGUGAAAUAAGGGCAAAAUUGGAAAAUUGCCAAAAUUAGCUAAAUAAAAAAGGGACUAAAUUGGAAUAUCUAGAAUUCUCUUCAUUUCUCUUCAUAUUCAUCAGCUGAAAAACAGCCUUGGAAGGGGGUUCAAGCUGGUUUUCAUGCUCUAGCUUCAUGUAAGUUUAAUUCUUGCUUUCUCCUUGAAAUUUCUAUGUUUUUGGAAGUUUACAAUUGAGUCCAACUUAAUAUUUCAUUAGUUUUUGAUUCCAUGGCUAAUUUUUAAAGUUUUUAUGGAUGAGUGCUGAAAUAAUAUGAUGAAUAAUCAUAGAAUUGAAGCUUUAAUUUUGGUAUAUAAUGAUUUUAUCAAGUAAAAUUGAUGGAAAUUCAUUUUAGGGCCUAAUUAAGAAAGAGUUUGGAAUUAAUGUCUAAUGUUAAAUUUAUGAUUUUUAGGGGUUAUGAAGAAGUUUAAAAUGAUAGACUAAAGUAUUAAUUGAGAAAAAUUAUCUCAAUUGAGGGGUUAAUUGAGCAAGGAGUGAAUUGUAUAAACUGUGAAAUUUGGGGCAAAAUGGAAAUCAACAUUUUUCACUAAAACUGUUUUGGACAGCAGCAGUAGUGUAACUUUGAAAAAUCACCAAAAAUUGUAUAAAUCGAAUUAGAGGAUGAAUAAAAUAUGAAAAUUAAAGCUUAUUGAGUCUAGUUUCUUAUAAAAGAAACGAUGUAAGCAAUGGAAUUGUGAAUCAUGAGAUAUAAUAAAUUUUAUGAGACAAGGAAAGAAUGAUUUCGGGUUCCCCUGUUUUGACUUUGGAAAAUCAUAAAAAUUGGAGAAAAAUAAUUAGGGGCUUAAAUUUAUAUGUUUAGAAUCCUUAAUGAUCCUAUUUUCCAUAGAAACAAACGACAACAUCAUUUGAAUCUUGUACAAGGGUAUAAUUAAUUUUUAGUGAAGAAGAGUCGGAACUGUUAGACAGCAGAACAGGGAUAACUUUAAAGAAUAAACUGUACUUAUUGGCUAAACCAAAAAUUCUGAAAAUUUUAUGGUAAGAAUAUAUGAGUCUAGUUUCAGGGAAAAUUAUUGUAUCUUAAUGUGGAGUUAUAUAGCUCUAGAUAUAAAUAAUUUAGUGACUAUGACACAGAUGGACAGCUUAAAUAUUCAUAAAAGUAAAUAAUAAAGAUUAUAGAUAAUGUUACUUACAAGUGUGUUAUAUACAUUAAGGAUGUGGAAUGGAGAGGAGGAGGAGGAAAAUAUAUAUGAAUAUCCAGCUAGCAUGGCUAAUUUGCAUGUUUUAGGCUUAAGGACUGAAUUGAAUAAAAGUAAAACUUCAGGGGGUAAUUUUGUAAAAAUGUCAAAAAUGACCAAAUUGAAGGGAAUGGAUUUUUUUAUUAUCUAAAUUAAUAAAUUGAAUGAAAUUUUCAAUUUAAGAUCGGGUGAAAAUUGAGAAAAUGGUAAAUUACCAAAAUGCCCCUUAAUCUUGAUAUUUCUGCAAUUUCGCCAAGUAAGUUCGUGUAACUUGAAUUAUAUUCUUAAAUGCUUGAAAUGUAUGUUUUUUUAUAUGAAUAUGAUUUGAAUGUACAUUAUAUGGAAAUUUAUGAAACAUUGAUAUAUUAAAAAAAAAAGGAAAAAAAAUCCCGGUUGAAUGGAAGGAAAAUUCGAUGGAUAUCUGAAAAGGAAUUGACGAUAAAAAGGAUCUAGCCCGGACGGGUGAUCCUAUCCUGAUAUAGCCCUCCCGAAGAAUAUGUGGAAAAUGGAUUUAGCCCGGACGGGUAAUCCGAAUUAGGGUCUGAAUUUAGCCUGGACUGGUAAUUCAGAUCCAAGCUCAUUAGAGUAAUUGUUGUUGCAGGGGAUUUAGCCUAGAUUGGUAAUCCCGACAAUACUCUAUGAGUUUAUAUUACAGGGGAUUUAGCCUGGACUGGUAAUCCCACUGUAAGGAUGAGGUUCUUAGGAGUGUGCUCUCUGAUAUGGAAUGUGUAAGACCAUGGUUGAAAGAUACCAUGGCAACCUGAUAUGAAAUGUGUAAGACCAUGGUUGAAAGAUACCAUGGCAACCUGAUAUGAAAUGUGUAAGACCAUGGUUGAAAGAUACCAUGGCAACGUGAUAUGAAAUGAAUAAGACUAUGGUUGAAAGAUACCAUGGCAACCUGACAUGAAAUGAGUAAGACCAUGGUUGAAAGAUACCAUGGCAACAUGACGGGAAAAUGAAUAAGACCAUGGUUGAAAGAUACCAUGGCAACAUGACAGAAAACGAGUAAAACCAUAGUUGAAAGAUACUAUGACAUCAUGUCGAAGAUAAAUAAGAUCGAGGAAGAGAAACGCUAAGAUAUCUAUUGAACAAUCGAUAUUCAGGUAAUAUGUAUCAGAUGGAAUGGUUAUAUGAAAUGGUUGUGUGAAAUGUUUACAGGAAUUGGUCAUAUGGAAAUAUAUGUACAAGAUAGUUGUAUGAAAUAAUUAAGAAGAUAGAUAAAUGAAAUAAGUAUAGGUACAUGGAAUUUAAUUUAUGUUAAGUUUAAUACGAACUAUUACCGAAAUAAAUAUAUACAAGAUAUAAGGAAAUGAUGGUGCAUGAAAUAUUGAUAUAACGAAAUGAAUGAUAUAUGCUUAUGAAGAAACAGUAAGAGAAUAAUAUAUUUUGUGACAUGUACAUAUAUAAUUAUUUUUGAUAUGUUGAUACAAGGAAGUUAUGUAAGUUGAGACUAUUAUUAAACUCAAGUGUGAUAUGUUGAGAAAAUAGGUAUAUCAAUGUUGAAUUUAUAUGAAAUAUGUGCAAGUAUACUAACAAUGUUGUUGUUUGACGCUUAGACAAGUGCCAAGCUAUUGAUUGAAUAGUAACAUGUUUAAUUAUAAGGAGCAUUGAAAUGGUAAGUACUUAGAUGAAAAUAUAAUUUAAGAUUUUGCGAAAUUUUUUAUGAUCUCGAUUUUAUUCUAGUUGGUUUCUAAUGUAUGUUUUGGGCUUCGAGGGCCCAAUAGAGAGACGUUAUGAUUAUUUCAAAAUAUGAAUAAUAAAUGACUCAAAAUUAUCUGAAAAUAUUCAGUAAACUCCGAUAAUGCCUCGUAUCCUAUUCCGGCAAUGAAUACGGGUAGGGGGUGUUACACAGUUAGCCUUUACCGACCCUACGGUUGGCCCAUAGUCGGUUAGGAUGACCCGCGUGACCCAACAGAGAAUUUCAGUAUAUUGGGCCCACAUGCCCUUGUGGCCCCACACGCUUAGAUUAGUUUCCCUGUGUGGCCCACACGGGUUGGCCCAAUAAUCCACACGCUCAUGUGAAAUGCCCCAUAUGGGCCCACAUGCCUAACUUGGUCUAGCCCGUGUGGCCCACACGGCCACACUCGAGCCACCACACGGUGGUGUCUUGCGAACGACAUUGUCUUCAUCUACCACACAAUCGUGUCCUCACACACAGCCUACCACAUGGGCAACCAUACGCCCAUGUGGCAUCGACAGUUUUGUUUUUCGACUUUUGCCGAAGUCUCAUUUUCUGCGUUUCGAGCACACACCUGGUAUCAAUUAGAUGCGAAAACACACCCGAGCUUUCCAAAACCUAAGAAUCGACAUACCAACGCUCAGAAUCAAACUUAAUACACGAUUAAUUCAUAAUUACGAAACCAACAACAAACCAAUCAUUUACUCUAACACCCUGAGCGACUACGGUUCCAAUUACCUACGAGGAGAGCCCUUUUCUUCCUAAUUUGCUGCUGUCAAAACAACAAUAAGAUUUUAAACGAAGAUUUGAAACUACAAAUAACGAAUUUAAGAACCACCACUUGAGCAAAUCAUUCAAAACUCAUUUACCGACGUACAAACACCUUAACCCAAAGCUCAGAAGUUAAGAAUCGAAUUUUGCCCCAAACAAAGAAAAAGAAAGAUGGACGAAACAGAAGAAAAAGAAUUGUAGAGAGGAAAAGAAGAAAAAAGUCAAAUAUCUAAAAAGGGAUUUUUAGGAAAAAGAGAGUUAAACUCAAAUCCCACUACACCACAAUCCUAACCACCCAUUACUCAAAAUUCUACCCCAACAAAAACUCUAUCACGAAGCCGAGCAAAAAUAAUUCCUAAGCUCACGUAAGGAUUUGAACACAAGACCUCUAAUAGACUAACUCUUUACCACUCGAACCAGUAGACUCAUUCUAAUAUGAAAUUACAGACAAUUAAAAUUAAGCCCGCUGAACAAGGACAAAGCUUAAUUCUAAAAAUAACAAAAUUUACUAAAGAUAGAGCUUGAACUUAGGACCUCCCACACACAAAGAACAUUUAACCACUGAAACAGAUAUACAUUUGUAUCACAUUUUCACUAAAGAAGAAAUAUAUUAUUCAGGGCGUUACAGAAACACAAAACAGAGCAGCAACACCUUAAUUAAGUCCCCUGCAUCAUUCUCUCAACAUAAACCAAAGGAUUAAGUCUCUGUUAGAAUAAGUUUUAUUUGUUUAUGCUCAUUUAUUUAUUUUGAUAAAUCAACAUAAACAACAACCCAAAUGUUCAUUUACAACCUUAACUUUAAGCAAUUAAACGAUAAGUCGGCUUUGCAAGUAAAUGAUUAGCCCUCGGCAACGUAAGGCCGAACUUCUCGGUCAUGUCGAGUUCAUUCGACAACAUCCCAUCAGGUAACUCCCAGUCAAAGCAAUGGGCUAAUUGAGCUAAAAUAAGACGCAUGCUGAUUAGAGCUAAUUGCAUUCCGGGACAUCCUCUACGACCGGUUCCGAACGGAAUGAGUUCGAAAUCAUGCCCUCGAAGGUCUAUCUUCCUAUCCUUAAAUCUUUCUGGAAAGAACUCUUCGGCAUUGCUCGACCAUAUCUUGGGAUUUCGCCCCAUGGACCAAGUGUUCACCAAAAGUCGCGACUUCUUAGGUAUGAAAUACCCAUUAACGGUGACAUCUUCAAUCGACUCAUGGGGGACUAACAACGGCGCCACGGGAUGCAACCCGAAACUCUCUUUUAUGACCAUAUCCAAAUAGGCAAGUUUCGGUAGGUCCGACUCUUCUACCAUUCUAUUCCUUCCAACAACACUUUCUACCUCUUUCUAGAGAGCAACCAUGACUCGAGGAUGCCUUAGAAGUUCUGAAAAUGUCCACUCAAUGGCCGUGGUUGUAGUGUCGAAGGAAGCUGCCACCAUGUCCACCAUUAUAGCCUUAAUGUUUUCUCUACCAACGAUGUAGGGUUGAUCUUCAUCAUUAGGGUUCAUGGGUGUAUCCAACAACGAAACCAUCACUUGAAAGAAAUUUCUAUAAGGCUUUUGUCAUCAUUGUUAGUCUCUUGUUGGUAUUCAUCUAUCAUUUUGUCAAAAAAUUCGUGAAGGCCAUUGCUCACCUUCUUAAGCCUUCUUGUAUAUCCCUGCCGCGGAGAGAUAGAUAUGAUAGAAUCAGUUUUAUAUUAAUUGUAUUGUUCAUUAUAAUUAUUCUUUGUGAAAAAACCAACUAGUCAUUCAAUCAAAUAUUAAGACUUCCGAAUUCCACUCUGCAUCUAAUAAGAUUACUAUAACACAAGUUAUUAUACUUUAAAAUUUGUAUUAUUAUUAGUACGAAAAAAUAAAUAAAUUAUGAAAAAGAAAAAUAGUACAUAAAAAAACAGGAUAUAAGGAAAAAAAAUUACCUGAAGAUCAAGUGGAGCAAGGAAAGGCACAUAAUCCGAGAGAUUUAAAACCCCAGAUAAGUGCAUGGCCUCAUCAACCAGUGGCUUAAAAUCGAUUUUAUCAUCCAUGAGCCGCCCGAAUAACACUUUCGACAUCAUUCCUUCAAGAACCUUAGCCACCGCCUGGCUAAGGUUUAUUGUUUCACCCGCCGCCGCUACCUUCCUCACUGAUUCAACCAAUAACCCCACCUCCGCCUUCCUUAUCGGGGCAAAACAUUCAACUUUGGAAGCACUGAGGAAAUGCAAAAUACUCCAUUUCCGUACAGUUCGCCAGUAAGAACCGUACUGGGUAAAAGCCAUAGCCUUGCCACCAUAUGCAAAGUAUUCCGCCGAUUGGACUUUAGGCCUGGAAGCAAAAACGACGUCAUGGACCUUGAGGAACAGUUCAGCGGCUUCGGGUGAUGAUACCACGAUGGUUGGUACUUUGCCUAGCAUUAUCGACAUGAUAGGUCCAUAUUUUUUGGCGAGAUAGUGAAGACUUUGGUGUGGGAGGUUCCCUAGCAUGUGGAUGUUACCUACGAUGGGAAGAGGGGCAGGACCGGGUAGAAGUUUCCGGCCAUUUUUGUUGCGGUUUGGUGAGCUGAAGAAAUAGAUAAAGGAACAGGGAGUUCCAAGGAGGAUGAAGAGUAAGGUUAAUGUCGAAGAAGACAUUUGGGAGGGAAGCCAAUCACAAUAGCUGAUAGCCAUUGGGUAGUGAUUGAUUGAGUACUUAUAGACGGAAGCAACCGAUGAUAGCUGCAAGUCGGGAGAAUUCGCCAAAUAUCUCGAUUUUAACAAAAACUAGGGAGUAGGAUUUUUUUUUUUAAAUGUAAGGAAAUAAGUUGAUUUUGGCUCAUUCAUAGGUAAAAGCUUUGCGGGCUUAUUUUGCCAGUUGAAUUCCUUACCAUGGUAAGAAAAUAUUAUUAUAAUUUUUAUUUUAAUUAAUAUUAUUUUUAAGUUGUUAAUGUUAUUAAAUUUUUUAUUUUUUUAUGUUUAUAUAAUCAAGAUGAUUAAAUUAUUAAAAUUUAUAUACACGCAAUUUAAGUGUAAGAACAACAUGUGGUAUUGAACAAUACAUGAAAGAGGUGAGAUUCUUACACGUGUCUCAUAUGCACAACGAGGCUAAAUUGGAGUUUGCACUUAUCAGUGCUUUGCUGGAGAGAUGGAGAACCAAAACACAUAUAUUCCAUCUUUCGUGCAGUGAGUGUAAGAUUACAUAUGAGGAUGUAUUAUUACAACUCGAUCUGCCAAUUGAUGAGGCAGAUGUUCACAUUGGGGAUUGGAGGCCAAUUUGCCACCAACUAUUAGGCAAGGUGUUAGACAAGUUUAGUGGUAAUCAGAUAUAUAUGAAAUAGUUAGAAGAUAAUUUCUCACAUCACAAAACUCUUCUAGUGCAGUUGAAAGACAAUAAUUAACUUGAGCAUUUAUAUUGAGGUUGAUUGGGGGUCUUCUAAUUUCAUAUAAAUCUCAAAUUUUGGUACAUUUAAAGGGACUCCUAUAACUAAUCGACCUAAAAGAAACUGAGUAACUCAGUUGGGGAUCAAUUGUCUUGGCUACAUUGUAUUGAGAGAUGUGUCGGAUAACAAAAGUACAAAAAUUAAAAUUGAUGGUUGUAUAUCCCUUCAAUCAUGGGUAUGGUAUCAAUUACCAUUUUUACGUCUCAAGUAAACUCCCAUUAUCAAUUAUCACUCGUAAUAGGGUAAGAUCAUUUAAUAAUGUAGUUAUCAUACUAUUUUUUUCAUUAUUAUAUUUUUGGAAUAACAUAUUAUUUGAACAAAUGAAAAAAUAAUGCAAGUCAUGUGGGUAUACCGAAUAAGCUUGAAGAUAUUUGGUUAUUGUUAGAUCAAUGGUUAAAAGUUGAGAUUAGUUUUUAAAUUUUUUUAAUUACAUAAUAAUUAUGUAAGGAUUUAAAUUUUAAUAUAAUUUGAAAGGAUAUCAUACUUUGAUCUAGCACGUCAAAGUGUCAUUAAUAGUUUUUGCAUUGCCUAUUUUUAAUAAAUAUAUUUGAAGUAAAGUUUUUUUAUAUACUCCAUUUGAUCUUUUUUAGAUUUUUAAAAAAAUAAUACAUACUUUUCAUAUUUUUUUUAGAACUAGGACCAAAUUAAUAGAAUAUAUAAACAUUGAUGGUUUAAUUUGUUAUUAUAUCAAUCAAAAUUAUGUAUAAUUGAUGGAAAAUAUUAUUCUUCAUGAUUAAUUAUUCUUAGUUGCUCACUUUUGAAAUGAACAAUGAUUAAAUUGCUUUGUUGUUUUUAGUAGGACCAAUUUGCUUAAUAUAAAAAUUGAGAGAAACUAAAAAGGGGAUUUUACCGAAAUCUGCUCCUCUAUAUGCAAAGGCUUUACUUCUUUUAGCUACAAUUGUAUUUAUUAAUUCAUAGAUUUGUUGGGAUAGCUACAAUGGCCAUUACUUGCAGAGACCACUGGACCAAUCACAAAUACCGACACCUAAAAUCAUAUAGUUAUUUUGGAUAAAUCCAACGUGAUGUAAAUUAUAUAUAUUUCUAAAAAAUUAUAAAUUAUAAUAUCAUAUAAUAAAAUAAUAUAUGAAUUUUAAUUGUAUUUGGUAACAUGUAUUUCUUUUCAACAUACCAUAAUUGUGGGCUGAAAAUUGUGGAUAUAGAUAUAAGCUGACAAAAACUUAGAAGUGGUUGAACAUGACAUGAUUGCGUGAUGUGAGGUGACAACUAAUCAGUGGCAGGUGCAAUUAAAGAAUAGGCUAAACUUAAUACGGAUGGAGUUGUAUAGUAACUUAUUUAUAGGUGUUGAAAUUUUUUUGAAAUUGACUUUUUAUUUUUAAAAAACGAAAAUGGAGUUGCCACUGAUCACUUUUGGGAGGCGUAAUCAGGUCACUUUAUAAUUUUGAUUAUUUUAAUAAGAGGUUUGAUUUAUUAAAAUAAUAUUUUUUAGUCUAUAAAAAUUUAGAAAAUGGGUUCAGUGGUCGGUUACGUACGAAGAAGGAUUAGCACCCUCAUUAUGUCUAAAAUUGGAACCUAAUUGAUUACUUGAUGUAUUUAGUGUCGAAAAUUAAAAAUUUGAAGAUAUUUUAAAAUACGAUCCUUUAUUAAAACAUUACUAAAUUAAUUUUCACAAAAAGAGGCUUAUUUCAGGUUAAUCGAAAAGAAAUGAUCAUGUCCCGUAAGUUAGGAUACAAUGCCUUAAAUCCUCAAGAACAAAAAUGAACGCCAUUUAAUUAUCAUUUCCCGUUUUUAUUUUAUUUUAAAGUAAAUGUUCGACUAUCUCGGUUUUAGAAAGAAGUCACAUUCUGUAAGUUAAGAACAUGAAUUUUCUAAUUCCAAAAUAAUGAACAUUACUAUAAUUUAAAAUUUCUUUUUUAUGCCACGUGCAAAGACAAAUGCAAUAUUUAAUAUAAUGUGUAUUUAACUUAUUCGGGCAUGAUAUACAAAUGGAUAAGCGUUAAAACCCCAUGUAUGGUAUGAAGAUAGCGAAGGAAUAUAAGAUGACCAUAUAAGUAAAACAUUUAUGCUAGAAUGACAAAUAACAAAUAAAUAGAUAAACACCAUAGUGAUAAUAAUGUAAAUAUGACAAUAAUAAGAAUAUUAAUUCACGACAUUAAUAACAAAAUAAGUGAAAUAACUUAAAAUAAAAAUAAAUAAAUAAAUAAAAUUAAAAACAGAAGGAAAGUAUAGGUAAUAUUAAAUUUAAAUGUUUAAAAAGCAGAAUAAUAAUAAAUAAAUAAAUGGACAAAACAAAUAAUAUUGAAUUUAAGUAUUUAAAAAAGGUAAAAGAAAAAGAAACAAGUAAUAUUAAAUUUAAUUAUUUAAAAGUAAAAGAAUAAAUAGAUAAGUAGAUAGAUAAGACAAAAAAUAUAAAAUUUAAGUAUAAAAAAAUAAAUGAAUAAAUAACUAAAUAAAUAGAUAAGACAACUAUGAAUAAUAUCAAAUUUAAAUAUUAAAAAAGGUAAAAUAAUAAUAAAUAAAUAAAUAAAUAAAAUUCUUCAUGAAAAAUUGAAAUCGGAUAAACCAAGGACCGAAUCAGAAUGAAAAUGAAGUUAAAAGUAAAAAUUACGAUAAAAUAAGUAAAUAAAGAUUAAAAUGAAAAGUGCGAAAGGAAAUAGGGACUAAAUGGAAAAAUAUCCCAAACCCUAUUAAACACACCUCUGCUUUGACAAAUUAGAGGACUAAAUUGCACUAAAAAUAAAAUAAAAUAAAAGGGAAAAAUUAAAAGAAGUAAUAAACAACAGUAGGACGAGAUUGAGAAAUAGUGAAAAAGCGGAAAGACUCAAGCGAAAAUUAGACCAUUUCAUGAAAACAUGUGGACCCUGCUGUAUGGACGGGUCGGAUCGUUGGGCUCUGCUUCGAAACGACAUCGUUUUGGGGGCAUCUCAAGCCAGGCCAAAACGACGCCGUAUUGAUGGCCUAUUUAAGUUUAAAAAAAUAAAAAAAAUCAUUUAAAACAGUUUUCAAAAAAAAAAACUUUCUUUUCUUUUUUUUUCUCUGAAUGCCUCCUUAGGCCUGCCAUGGCUCCGGCGAGUCAUAGCCAUGCCGGCCACCAGUCGCCGGCGACGGCUUCGCUGUCUCCAGUGGCCAAAAAACUUAAAACGCACCUUUUAACCUCCUUUUCACUAGGAGCCCCAUUUUAGGGUUAAAAGCAUCGAGAUCUCGACAAAAAGGGGCCAAAAAUGAGAAACCCUUCAGUUUCCUCUUCUCUCCGACGACCGAAGCAGGUGAAAAUAUUUUUUUUGUUUUGUUUUAUAUAUAUAAUGAUUUGAAAGAAAAAACAAAAAAAUAAUAAAUAAAAAGAAAAUCAAUCACCUUUGAAAUCCUGUAUUCUAUUGUUUAAAAUUUUUGAUUGCUAUUUUUUUCGUUCUCUGUUUUUUUUUUCAAAAAAAAUGAACUCACUUUUACAAUCGAUUUUUAGGCUUUUAUAGCCGAAUUUACAUAUUGUUUUUUUCUACUGUUUCACUACUGUUUCCUUUCACUGUUUCUUGCAUGUGGUUUCUGUCAUUUCUCUUUCUUUUUUGCAGAUGGCGUGGAGGCCAACGGAGAGGAAAGCAAAUGUGCUUUUUGCCGUUUUGAUACAAGGCGAUAAACGUGAGUCUAGCCUCGAGAUGAGAAGCGUGCGGCAUGAUCGAGGAGAAGCAGCAAGGGGGCUAGGGUUUCUUUUGUUUUACUGAAAAAUAUUUAGGUUAUGGGCUGGUAACUUUUGGGUUAGGGUUUGGUUGUAUUUUGGGCUUUAUUUUUUUUGAGCCAUCACUGUAAAUGGACUAUUUUUUAUUUUAUUAUCUUUUAUUUUUAUUAUUUGGUUUAUUUUUAUCCUGGCCGAAUAAAAUUGGCCCAUUAUAGCUUCCCCUCUUUGCUUAUUUACGUGUAACAAGAAUGAAGCAAAGACUUUAAGAAUGACCAAUUUUGUCUGGUCUUGCCAACUCUCGACUUUUUUUGUGCUUCUCUUUUUCAAGUAGGCUCAUUCUAACCCACUGCAACUUCAAAGGUAUAAGGUUUGUCCCUUCAAUCUAUUUCACUGCAACUUCAGAGAGAUAAUAUUAGUAGCUUCAAUCUGCUUUACCGCAACUUCAAGGAGAUAAGAUUUGUAACAUGCAACUUUAGUCUAUUCCACUGGAACUUCAGAGAGAUAAGACUUGCUAUGGUAGAUUUAAUCUGACCUACUGUAACUUCAGAGCUAUAGGACUUGCCGCUUCAGUCUGCUCCACGCAACUUCAGGGAGAUAAGAUUUGUAGCUUGUAGCUUUAGUCUAUUCCAUUGCAACUUCAGGGAGAUAAGACUUGUUAUAGUAGAUUUAAUCCGACCCACUGCAACUUCAAAGGUAUAAGACUUGUCGCUUCAACCUGUUUCACUGCAACUUCAAGGAGAUAAGAUUUGUAGCUUGUAACUUUAGUCUAUUCCACUGCAACUUCAGAGAGAUAGGAUUUGUAUCUUCAAUCCACUCCACUGCAACUUUAGGGAGAUGAGAUUUAUAGCUUCAACCCGCUCCACUGCAACUUCAGAGAAAUAAGGUUUAUAGCUUUAAUCUGCUCUACUGUUGUAACACCCCUUACCUAUACCCGAGACCUGAGACUAGUUACGAGGCGUUAUCAGGCUUGUACUCGAACAUUUUCAGGAAAUAUGGGUUAUAAAAUUUCGUUCCAAUUUGAACCCAAUCGAAUAACAUCUUACUGUCCCUAUUAUGGGCCUCGUACAUUAAAAAUGGUCUAGGAUUAAACCAAGGAAAAAUUUUAAGUAAAUUUCUAGGUUAAUGUCUCACACGCCCGUGUGGAGACAAUGCACACACCCUUGUGCUUUGGGACAUGCCCGUGUCCCCUACCUGUGUGGAAUUAAUUGAAUUUAUUUCCUAUUUCGAACCUACAGGGGUUUUCACACGGCCAAGCACACGUCUGUGUGGUCGUCCGUGUCCAAAAACUUGGACAUUCUGUUUAUGACGUCAGCAUGUAUUUAGGGACACAGGGUCAAUACACACGCCCGUUUGCCAGGCCAUGCCCUCCACAUGGUUGAGACACACGGCCGUGUCUCUACCCGUGUGUUUACUACCAUGCAUUCUGACUUAAUAUUUUUAGGUGCAGGGGACAUACGACCAUUUCACAGGCCCAUGGGACGGUCCGUGUGUCACACACGGCCUAGACACAUGCCCAUGUGUCUACCCGUGUGGACCUUGUUAGACUAUUUUCCAAGCCUUUGGUCACCCUCUGAUAUGCAUAUUCACUUAUAGUUUUCAAUAACACUUGACAUGGUCUAAUUAUACUCUUCAAUGACCUUAAUACACUUCAUUGCAUGUAAACCUCAUCUUAUCGGUUUUCAUACAUGCUAGGUUAUCCCCUUUAUAAUAAGGAUUUCUAUGACUUGCAACUCAAUUGAGCUUCACUCGUUAUCAUAACUCAUUGCCAAAUUGUGGCCUAGCCAUCCCAUGCGAUUUGGUCAUAAUAUAUAUAUAUGACUAAUUGUGACACACCAUAUUUAAUCAUCACAAAAACAUUUGGACAUAAAUAUGCACAAAUUUGCAGGUCAUAACCUACAUCAAAAUGAACCAAUUCCCAUGGCCAUAUACAAGCGAACACAUAUACUUUUAUAAGUCUUCAUAUUGGCUAAUCAAAUGACACAUAUAACAAAAUAUCAAAAGCCCUAUACAUGCCAUUGAACAAAAUAAGAGUAUCUAUAUACCAAAGCUAGACAAGAUGAUAGUGUGUUGACUCUCCAACUGUCUCCCAAUCUUUGCGAAUCCACAAGCUCUGUAAGACAGGGAAAAGAUAGGGGUAAGCAUUUACAUGCUUAGUAAGCCCGAAUAACUGGAAAGUAAACUUACCGAUUAAUUAGCAUGGAUCCAUAUUAGGAAAUAAAACCAACAAACAUGAAAUAGUUUCCCUAUCACAUGCACUCAAACCGACAAAGCUAGUUCCAUAAUGAUAUACCAUGUAAUUUGUCUUAGAUGAGCUCAUCAUCCAACAUUUUCAUUUCCAUAUUUCAUGUUAAUCCCAUUGAGUUUCUCAAAAGUCUCGAUGGAUUAUCCAUUUACCGUCAAGUCAUAAAAGCGAUCAUCUCAAGUACGCACUCCCGCGAACCUCACAUCUUACGGCGGGAUUACCAGUCCAGGCUAAAUCCCCCUCAAUAUAAACUCAUAGGGUGAUGUCGGGAUUACCAGUCCAGUAAAAAAUCCCUUGUAGCGACAAGCACCCAUAAUGAGCUCGGAUCUAAAUUACCAGUCCAGGCUAAAUUCAGACCCUAGUCGGAUUACCCGUCCGGGCUAAAUCCACAAUGCACACAUAUUCUUCGGGAGGCUCGAUCACUCAAGAGACACCCGUUCGGGCUAGAUCCUUUCUAUAUUUGAGAUCAACGGAUUACCCGUCUGGGCUAAAUCCUUUUCUGCAACACAUGCAGGAUCUCAAGUCAUGUAAGCCAUGGUUUAUCCAUCGAAUUUCCCUUUUUACUUCAACCGGGACAUUUAUCAUCAUGUUAUUAUUAUUAACAUAUUUUAUGGAGUUUCAUGCCAUCACUAUAACCAAUUAUCAUACAUUCAUAAAACAUGCAUUUAGACAUAUUAAUAGUUUACUUAAAGUUAUUCGAACUUACCUGGUACUCGUUUUGGUUUUGCGUCUCGGUUAUUCUGAAACUUUUCUUUUUCCUCGAUCGACCUCAGGAAUUUGUUCCUCGGGGUCUAUAACAAUAAAUAUGAAUCAUUAAUACCUCACAUUAUUUUUUUCGAGUCUAAAUUUCACACCCGGACAAAAUGACUGUUUUGCCCCUAACAUUUCAUAUUAUUUACGAUUUAGUCCCUAGGCUCGUAUGAUAAAAUGCAUGAAAUUUAUACAUUACCCAAGCUUAGCCAAAUGUUCUUUCCCCGUAUGGCAGCCCACAUUUUUGCAUUAUUUCACAUUUCUACCACAUAUUUUACACCUUUUGCAAAAAGGUCUUUUAAGGGUUUUUCAUGAAAAUCACCUAGAAAAAUAUGUUUAACACAUAUCCAACUUUCAUAUUCCUCCAUAAAACAUCAAAGAAUAAACAUGUCACACAUGGUUCACUUUACAAAAAUGAACCCUAACUCAAAAUAUGGGUAGAAAUGGAGAGAGUAAGCUACCGGGAUUUCAAAAAUACGAAGAACAUUAAAAACGGGGCUAGGGAGCACUUGCUAUUGAGCUUGAAAAAUGAAGAACCUCUAGCUAUGGUGGCUCUCAAAUUUCGGCAGCUAGGUGGAGAAGAUGAGCUGAUUUUUGUCUUCAUUUUCCCAUUUUAUUUCAUUAAUUUGCCAAAUGACCAAAAUGUCAUUAAGCCAUUUUUUUGAAAUUUUAUCCAUACAUGCCCAUUUUUGUCCAAAAACUUAGAAAUUGGGAAAAUUGCUCUUUAAGAACUUCUAAUUAAUAAUCUAAAGCAAUUUCAUACAAAUUACUUCUAGAAUCCAAGUUUUGCAAUUUAUUCAAUUUGGUCAUUAUUUUUCAAUUGGACACCUUACUCAUAGAAUUUCUUCAUGAAAAUUUAACAUAUGCAUAUUUCAUAUUCUAGACCUCAUAAUAAUCAUAAAAAAUAUUUUAACGUCAGAUUUAUGGUCCUAAAACCACUGUUCCGACUAGGCCCUAUUUUAGGAUGUUACAACUGCAACUUCAGAGAGAUAAGAUUUGCUAACUUCAAUCUACUCCAUUGCAACUUUAGGUAGAUAAGACUUGUGACUUCAACCUGCUCUAUUGUAACUUCAAAGAGAUAAGGAUUAUAGCUUUAAUUUGCUCUACUACAACUUAAGAGAGAUAAGAUUUGUGACUUGUAACUUUAAUCUGUUUCAUUGUAACUUCAGGGAAAUAAGAUUCGUCACAAUGACUUUAAUCCAUCCCACUGUAACUUUAAAGGUAUAUGAUUUUUGGUUUCAUUGAUUUGUUACACCGAUCUCUAGGGAACAUGACCUGUAGAAUCCAUUUCAUAGGCCUGUAUUUGUGUCGAGUGAUUAGGAUGUUAUGAUCAAAAUAAAUCAAAUGCUCCUAACUAGAUGUGUAUGAAUGAUCUUUUCAUGAAUGUCGAAUGUCAUUUUUUUAGAAUGAUCACUUUUUAAUGUUUAGGCUGGCAUUGCUUGUUGUUCAUCAAAGGUUCUACCACUGACAGAUUACUUUGCCUUCUUGUUCAGUUAGUAUCUUUGAUAGAAAACCUGAAAAAAUAAUCACAAUUUAAACUAUUCUUUCCCAAAAAUUUCCAACUCUUAGAUUUGGUUAGUUCUGACUAUUGGUCCUAUUUCAAGUCCUUGUACUAUUUAGGAAACCUUUUAGAGCAAUAUGCAGAAAUCCUUUCACUUGAAUAUUAUUUGUCCAUUAAUCGUAAUUUCAAUGAAAAAUACUUGCAAAAGAUUGUAACAAUGGACAAUAUUGAAAUUUAUUGGGAGCAAAGCUCGAAAUGAAUAAAUUAAUCAAAAUAGCAAACGUUGCUAAAAUACGAAAUGAGUAAGAUGAAAUUAGGUGUCUCAAAUAUCGCAGCAUGAGCUUCUUUGCACAAACUUCUUGAGGACUAUUUUGAUCCCGAUAUGUUUUUAGGAGAUCUAGAGUACUUUUUUGAUGCCUCAAGAUGUAACGUUCCUCCUCCUUAUUAAUUCUGAGGGAACAAGACUACCACAUGCCCUAUCCUUUGGUCAAAAUUUGAGCCGCCCUUUCUGGGUUUUCAACUCAAAACUCCUUUAGUCUCAAAACGCCCUUUGCAGGUUUUUGCCUUGGUCUCUCCUCUUUUUUUAUAGGUGAAGUACUUCUUGACUGAAUCUGAAUUCACAGGAUUAUGCAGAUUUUUACGAUCCAUCUCGGUUAAAAUCAGUGGUCCUCUGGAAAAAGGUAUUCUUUACCAUAUAAGGUCUUUCCCAAUUUAGCAUUCAUUUACUUUUGAAAUCUUUUUGUAUGGGCAUGAUCUUUUUCAAUACUAAAUCCCUCUCAUGGAAUUCUCUGAGACGAACCUUUUUGUUGUAAGCUCGCAUCAUUCGCUUUUGGUACAUCUGACCAUGACGGAUGGCUUUCAACAUUUUCUCUUCAAUCAAGUUUAGAUGAUCAUAUUGGGAUUGGAUCUAUUCUGCUUCAUCCAACUUUAAUUUUGCUAAAACUCGAAGAGAAUGAAUCUCGACUUCAAUGGGUAAAACCUCCUCCAUUCCAUAAACCAAAGAGAAAGGCGUUACCCCGGUAGAGGUCCUAACAUACGUUUGAUAAGCAUAUAGAGCAAAUGGUAACUUCUCAUACAAUCUUUAUAAGUCUCAGUUAUUUUCCCCACAAUCUUCUUUAUAUUCUUAUUGGUUGCCUCCACUGCACCAUUCAUUUUUGGGCGAUAUGGUGAUGGGUUAUGGUGUUAGAUUUUGAACUGACUGUUGACUUCUGAUACCGUGUUGUUGUUCAAAUUUGGCGCAUUGUUAGAUAUAAUUCUUUCUUGCAUUCCAUAUCGACAAAUGAUCUAUUUUUUCAAGAAUUUGUUGAUUACCAACUUUAUGACAUUGGCGUAAGAAGUGACUUCUACCCACUUAGUGAAGUAAUCGAUGACUACGAAAAUGAAUCAAUGCCCAUUGGAAGCUUUUGAUGAUAUCGGCCCAAUUACAUCCAUGUCCCAUAUAGAUAAAGGCCAUGGAGAAGUCAUGACAUGAAGAGGUGAAGGAGGAACAUGAAUUUAGUCUCCAUAAAUUUGGUAUUUGUGACAUCUCUUGGUGUAAUUAAUACAAUCCUCUUUCAUGGUGGACCAUUAAUACCCGAAUCUCAUGAUUUGCUUGGCUAUUAUGAAAUCAUUAGCAUGUGUUCCGCAGACACCCUCAUGGACUUCUUCCAAGAUUUUCUUAGCCUCAACAGUGUUUACACAUCUUAGCAGCACCUGAUCAAUUCUUCUCUUGUAUAGGAUAUCCCCAUCUAAGAUAUAGUCACUAGCCAGUCUUCUUAGUGUCCUUUUGUCAUUCUCAGUUGCUUGGUCAAGAUAUUCACGAUUCUUUACAUACCGCAGUAUAUCUUGGUACCAAGAGUGAUCAUCAUUUUCUUCUUCUUCUUCGAUGUUGUAACAAUGAGCCAGAAUCUCAUAAAUACUAAUCUAGAUAGGUUUUACAUCCUCUUAUUUGCUCACUUUGACCAUAGGAGCUAAGGUAGCUAGGGCAUCAGCCAUUUGAUUUUCAUUUCGUGGGAGAUAGUAGAAGGUGAUAUCAUCAAACUGUUCAAUCAGCUCCAGAACCAGCCUUCGAUAAUUGAUCAAUUUGAGGUCUCUCAUCUCUCAUUCACCUUUAAGUUGAUAGAUCACUAAUGCAGAAUCUCCAUAUGCCUUUAGCACUUUAAUCUUACGUUCUAUGGCUGCACGGAUACCAAUGAUGCAUGCUUUGUAUUCUACCAUAUUGUUUGUGCAAUUAAAAUCCAAUUUACUAGUGAAUGGAUAAUGAUCUCUUUUUGGGGAUACUAAGAUUGCCCCAAUUUCAUUACCCAUGGUGUUUGAGGCUCCAACGAAGUUUAGCUUCCAAGGAUAACCUUCUUGAGAUUCUUCUUCAAUGGUUGCAACAUACAUUAGAUCUUCAUUUGGGAAAUCAAAGUUCAAAAGCUCGUAAUCUUUUAGAACUUUACUGGUCAGAAAAUCUGCUAUAACGCUCCCUUUUAUAGCCUUCUGAUUCACAUAGACUAUACUGAAUUCUUAAAGCAAAAUUUGCCAUCGGACCAUUCUUCCAUUCAAAACAGUCAACUCCAUCAUGUACUUCAGAUGGUCCAUCUUUGAGAUGAGCCAAGUUGUAUGGUACAAUAUGUACUGUCUCAAUCUUCGGGUUGUCCAAAUCAAGGCGCAACACAACUCUUGGAUUGGUGAAUGUCUUGUCUCACAUUUAGUGAAUUUUUUACUGAGAUAGCAUACCGCUCUUUCUUUUCUUCCUGACUCAUCAUGCUGGCCAAGCACGCAUCCCAUAAAAUUUCCAAAUAAAGUAUCAGCGGCUUAUUUGGGCUAGGUGGCACCAGUAUUGGGGCAUUGGAUAAAUAAUGUUUAACCUUGUCGAAAGUCUUCUGGCACUCCUCAUCUCAAACGCCUGGAUUGCGUUUCUGAAGGAGCUAGAAUAUGAGGUCGCAUUUCUCAAUUAGUUGUGAAAUGAACCGGGCGAUGGAAUUUAGUCUUCCUAGGAAACCUUGAAUUUCUUUUUUAGUGCGUGGCAGAGGCAACUCUUGUAUAGCCUUAACUUUAUCUGGGUCGAUUUCGAUCCCUUUUUCACUGACUACAAAUCCUAACAAUUUUCUCGACCUGGCCCCGGAGGUACAUUUUACUAAAUUAAGCUUUAACUGAAUUUUUCUCAACCUCAAGAACAAUUUCCUUAGGACUUGUAUAUGCUCCUUUUCUGUUCAGGACAUUGCAAUUAUAUCGUCGAUAUAAACCUCGAUUUCUUUGUACAUCAUAUCAUGAAACAAGUUACCAUGACUCUUUGAUAUAUCGAUCAUGUAUUUUUCAAUCCGAAUGACAUCACUUGAUAGCAAAAUGUUCCCCACAUGGUUACGAAUGUGGUCUUCUCCAUGUCUUCAGGAUGCAUCUUUAUCUUGUUGUAUCCCGAGAAACCAUCUAUGAAGGAAAAUAGUGAGUAACAUAUCAUGUUGUCCACUAAAAUGUCAAUAUGAAGCAAUGAGAAAUUGUCUUUCAGGUUGAUUUUGUUCAAAUCCAUAUAGUCUACGCACAUUCGUACUUUCCCAUCUUUUUUAGGGACAGGGAUGAUAUUAGCUACCCAUUCUGAGUAUUUAACAACUUGUAAGAAACCAGCAUCGAAUUGCUUCUUGACCUCCUCUGUUUUUUUAGCAAAAUGUAGGGCCUCGUCCUUCGAAGUUUCUGUUGAACUGGCUUACACUCUUCCUUUAUGGGGAGCCGAUGUACCACGAUAUCAGUACUUAACCCUGGUAUGUCUUGAUAUGACCAUGCAAAGACAUCCUUAAAUUCUUGGAAUAACUCAAUGAGGUCUCGCUUUGUCUCUACGGUAAUGCAAGCCCUAAUCUUCACCUAUUUUUCCUCUCCUAAGUUCACAAUUUCGACUGACUAUUUUUAAUGUAGAAUUUAUUUCUCAUCUUGUUCUACUAUCCUUAACAAAUUAGGAGAUAGGUGGUAAUCUCGAUCAUCUUAAAGGUCCUAAGGUUUCUCUAAACACAUAUCUUGCUCAAAAGGAGAUCUUAAGUCAAUAGCAGUGUCGCUCAUAUCAUUGAUAUCUGGAAACCUAUUAUAGGAACGGAGGAAGACCCAAAGAUCAAAUGAAUCUAAGAAUAACUAUCUAUGUGGUAUGAGUAUGAAUGAAAUGGAAAGAACAAAAGAAUGCUUGCCAAAACAAGACAUGAAUAUGCAUUUUAUUGAAAUAAAAAUAGCGAACUUGUGCCUUUUUCGCAAAAGGAUUCCUAUUGCUCCUAUGCUUAGAGCAACAGGUGUGUUCUUUUGCUUUUCUUGGAUGGUAGUCUAUUACACAAUCAUAAUCUUUCAGAAGCUCAAUCCACCGUCUUUAUCUAAAAUUCAACUUCUUUUACGACAAAAGAUAUUUUAGGCUCUUAUGAUCAGUAUAAAUGUAACAUUUCUCACCAUACAAGUAAUGCCUUCAAAUCUUCAAUGCAAAGAUUACUGCAGCUAACUCCAAAUCAGGUGUCAGGUAGUUGCACUCAUGUGGCUUCAACUGACGAGAUGCAUAAGCUAUUACUUUUCUAUCUUGCAUCAAUACACAACCCAAACCGCUCAUAGAAACAUCACUGUAUGCAACAAAGUCCUUUCCUGACUCUGGAAAGGUUAAAAUAGGUGCCUCAGUAAACAUUUACUUCAAUGUCUCAAAACUCUUCUGGCACUGAUCAUCCCAGAUAAAAGGAAUAUUCUUUUAUAGAAGCUUAGUCAUCGGCAAUAUUAUUUUCAAAAAUCUAUUAACAAAUCUUCGGUAGUAUCCAGCUAGUGCCAGAAAACUACGUACCUCGGAUACGUUCUUUGGUGCCUCCCAUUGAACAAUCACCUUAAUCUUCUUUAGAUCAACUCUGAUUCCAUCAGCAGACACAACUUGUCCCAAAAACACCACCUCCGAUAACCAGAAUUCACAUUUACUCAACUUCCCGUACAACUGUUUUCUCGUAGAAUCUGUAAAACUAUUCUGAGAUGUUGAUCAUGUUCUGACUCUAUCUUCGAAUAAACCAAUAUAUCAUCAAUGAAGACCACCACAAAUUAAUCUAAAUAUGGCUGGAAUGUAACACCCCUAACCCGUAACCGUCGCCGUAAUAGGUUAAGAGGUAUUACUGGACUUGUAACUCAGUUCAGAACAAUCAUUUAUCUAAUAACUUCUAUUCUCAGUUAAUAUCAUUCAUUCACAUUCAGUAUGUACUUAAAUCAAGCAUACAAAGCUUUAAUCAUGCAUUCGAGACUAAAUCGUAACAUAUUAAAAAUUUAAGAAACUUAGAAAAAUUUUCACUUUUCAAGUGUUACAUGCCCGUAUGAACAAGCCGUGUGCCUCACACGGCUAGUAGACACACCGGUGUCUAAAACCGUGUGAAAACAGGGCAUACAUAUUAACUUGUGCCACAUGGCCAAGGGCAUGUCCAUGUGCCAUGGCCGUGGAAAACCUAGAGAGGUUAUUGACUUGGGUCACACGGCUGGCCACAUGCUCAUGUGCCAGCCCGUGUGCCACACACAGCUAGUAGACACGCCCGUGUGUCUUAGCCGUGCCAAACCUGUAAGGUAUACUGACUUAAUUUCGAAGGGUACCCUAGGGGACACACAACAGUGCAACAUGACCGUGUGUCACACACGGCUAAGACACAUGCCCGUGUGGACAAAAAUAGGCCAUUUGUAAAGCCAUUUUGCCACCCUAAAAUACAAGCAUUCAUAAGCAUAUAUAACCACAUUUUGCAACACAUUAGGUAGCCAAAAUAACGAUUUCAAUACACAUAAUUUUCCAUAUCAAAAACUAACAAUUACAUGCCCAAGUACCUAAUUAACAUCAUGCAUAAUCCAUUCAUUUAACAACUACAUAUCAAAACUCUACUUGUAUAAUUUCUUUCCAUUAUUACCUUGCUAAAACAUACCAUAUUUUAACACUUAUACACAACCAAGUAUAAUGCCAAAAUAAGCCAAAUCACAUGGCUUAGCUUAAACACAAAAAUAUGCCAAAGUCAUGAUAUCAAUUAACAUAAAUAUCAUCUCCUAAUCUAGCCUAUACAUGCCGUAUUUACAUAUAUCCACAAGAUCAAAAGUACCAACUGGAAUUUGGAUAGUGUGAUGUGCAACUCCAACUUGUCCGAAACGAGCGAGCUAACGAACCUCUAUAAAAAACAUAGAAAAGAAACAGAGUAAGCUUUAUAGCUUAGUAAGCCCGUAUAAUUUAGAAUUAAACUUACCAUUUAUAUAUAAUCAAAGCAAUACUAAAAAUACAACUAAUUCAAUUAACCAACACCUAAUCAAAAGUAUUCAUCACAUGUUAGUCAUUGUAAAAAUAUAUGAAACCAUCAUUAUUACAAUGCUUAUCAUCAUUCCAAAUUCAUAUAUCAUAUAUAACAUUAAUAAGAUUUAUAAACCGUAACUCGUUCGUAUAUCAAUAUUUAGGCUCGUUGAACCUGUUAGAACUUCAAAGGAUAAUCGAGUGAACAAUGUCAAUAAUAUGUCAAUUCAUCAUCAUAUAUGCUCUUUCGAGCCAUAUUCGGUAAGCACCUCCUGAGCUGAUGAACAGUAAGCUCUAUUGAGCUGAAACGAUAAGCUCUUUCGAGCUGAACAGUAAGCUCAUACGAGUUGAAACGGUAAGCUCUCACGAGCUGAUAUAUCGGUAAGCUCAUGUGAGCUGUUGUGAGUCCGCAACAAAUGCAGGAGCUUGACCAAAACGGUAAUCCCAAUAACAUGUCACUCAUAUCCAAUGAAUCCAUAGAGUUCAAACGAGGCUCAUUGACAAAUACAUUAUAUCAAUAAGGCAUUAUACUUCAAAUAUUUUCAUUUUACACAUUCAUUUCAAUAAUCAAAAGCAUAUAAAAGUUCGAUUCUAAUUAUACGAACUUACCUCGAGUUACUCGAAUGAAAAUUAUCAUCUAUUCGCCAACUUUUCUUUUUCCCUGAUCUAGUUCCGGUAUUUGCUUAUCUUGAUCUAUAUGAUAUCAAAUUAACUCAUUCAAACUUUCAUUCAAUUCAAUUUAGUUUAAAACAUUCAUUUUGGCUAAAUUAUAAUUUUACCCCUAAACUUUUAACUACUUUGCAAUUUAGUCCUUAACACAUAAAAAUGCAAAAUUACACAAUUAGGCUAAUACCCAUGGUAGCCGAAUUUAAUACAACUUUAUAGCAACCCAUAUUUUCAUUUAUUUCACACUUUUAAGCACAACAUUUUGCAAAUUCACAAUUUAAUCAUUAAUUGACAUUUUUUUCAAAAAUCACUUAACAAAACUUGUAUAUCUAUCAUUAAACCUUAAUAAUCUAUCAUUAAACAUUUAAACAACCAAGCAUUCAAUAAUGACAUCAUUCAAAAUCUGUAGCAGUUUUGAAAACGAAGGUAUGGGCUAGCUAGAUUAAGCUGCAAUGAGCUCAAAAACGUAGAAAGCAUUAAAAACGAGUCAAAACCGUACCUUAAUCUAGCUAGGAAUGUGUCGAAACCAUAGAAGCUUCAAAACCUUUAUUUUGUUUCUCAAAUUUGGUAAGAUGAUGAAUGAAUUAACAUGAUUUUGGUUUUGUUUUUUUAUUAUUAACUAAUUACAUAAAUUACCAUUAUAACCUUGUUAAUAUAACUUAAACAUCAUUUAAACAAUGUCCAAGAAUGUCCACUUACAUUAUAAAUGGACAAAUUACUUAAUAAGGACUUCCAUAUUAAUAAACCAUAGCUAUUUAAUACUUUUACACAAUAGAACUCAACUUUUACGUGUUACGCGGUUUAGUCUUUUUUACUGAAUUAAGCAUUUAAGCGGUAAAAUUUCUUUACGAAACUUUUACAUAGUUAAUCUAUCAUGCUGUAAACCUUAUUAAAAUAAAAAAAUAAAUAUUUUGACUUUGAAUUUGUGGUCCUGAAACUAUUGUUCCGAUUUGACCUAAAAAUGGGUUGUUGCAUGGAAAAUGCGAUUCAUCAGAUCGAUGAAUGCAGCUAGGGCAUUAAUCAACCUGAACGGCAUCACCAAAAACUUAUAAUGACCAUACUGAGUAUGCUUUAGCAUAUCACUUUCUUUUACUUUCAACUGAUAAUACCCGGAUCUUAAAUCAAUCUUUGAAAAUACCGAAGCUCCGUUUAACUGGUAAAAAAAAUCAUCUGUAUGGGGCAAAGGAUAUCGGUUCUUGAUCUCACUUUGUUUCAUUGUCGGUAAUCGAUACAAAGUCACAUUAAGCCAUCUUUUUUUAACAAACAAUACCGGUGCACCCCAUGGUGAAAUGCUCGGUUUAAUAAAUCCACGAUCUAACAAAUCCUGUAAUUGUAUCUUCAAUUAUUUCAAUUCAGUGGGCGACAUUCGGUAGGAAGUGUAGAGAUUGGUGCUGUCCCUGGAUACAUCUCAAUAGCAAAUUCAACUUCUCUGUUAGGUGGUAAACCUGGUAAUUCUUCAGGAAAUACAUCCGGAAACUCACAUACGGUUCUGAUUUUGCUACAUUGACUUCCAACUGAAUCAGAAUUAAUAACAUAAGCUAAGCAAGCUGCACAACCAUGCUGAAGCAACUUAUUGGUCUUUAUUACCGAAAUGAUGCGUGUUGAUCUACUAGUACGGAUACCAUUCACUUUAAUUUUGUCUUCGUCUUCUAUCUAAAUACUGAACCUCUUUUUAUGAUAAUCUAAUACUACUCCGUGUUCAAAUAACCAAUCCAUGCCCAAGAUUACAUCAAAAUCGCUGAAAGGCAUGAUCAACAAAUCAACGAAAAACAUUUUAUCAUGUAUUAUCAAUGGGCAUCUUCAGCACAAUCGGUCUACAGACAUAGUUUGUCCUAAAAGGCUAGACACCUCUUCAGAUUUUAAUUUUUUCGAUUCAACCAAUUUCGAAUUAAUAUAUGAAUGUAAUGAUAUCGGGUUAAUUAAUGCGUAAACAGGUUUAGAAUACAAUAAAAUAUACCUGUCACGACGUCAUGUGCAUCACCUUCUUCCCUAGUUCUAACUACAUAUGCCUGGCUGGCGCUCUAGCCUCCGACUGCUGAGUAACUAUGUCACUGCCUUUUCUUACACCACCACCUCUAGAAAUAGAACUGCCUCUACCCAAGCCUCUGUCUCGAGCAGUAGACACUGAUCUCUGUGAUGCUGCAGGUGCGGUGCUUUCACUUUUCGGGCAGUCUCUAAUAAAAUGAUCUGUAGACCCAUAUUGGAAGCAUCAUUUGAUUAUUCUUCAACAUUCACCUUUAUGCUUUUUCCCAUAAUGUUCGUAGUCCGGCAUGUUAAUGUCUCGAGAAGGGCCUCUUACACUGCCAGUAGAAAUUGUAGUUUGCUUUCCCCGGCUUUUAUCACCUCAGUCUGAUCUAAAACUCGGCCUUCAACCACCUCUGGUUUCUUUGGAUCUUUUUAGCUGAGGAUUAGAACUAGUAGUUCUAGCUCAUUUCCCGGUCGAUCUAACUAUUUCUGACUUUUUAUCCAAUUUCAAAACUUGCUCUACCAUUUUUGCCCGUUCGACCGAAUCUACAAAUUUUGUGAUUCGGUGUGAUACCAGCUGUACUCUGAUUUUAUCUCUUAAGCCUCGUAGCAACUGCUUACAACUUUCAGCCUCUGUCGGUAUAAACUCUGAAGCAUAUCAACUGAGUCUAGAAAAUUCCUUUUCAUAGUCUACUACUGAUAGAUUAUCUUAUUUCAACAUAAAAAUUCUUGCUUUUUGUCUUCAAUAUAUAAUUCCCCGACAUAUUUAUUCUGGAAUUAUUUAUAAAAUAAAUCCCAUGUUACCUGUUCUGUUGGUAGAUGUCGAAUUACAGAUUCCACCACAAAUAAGCUUCGCAUUGCAGUAAAGAAACAGCAUAGAUAAGACAUUUCCGGGGGGUACAUUCUAGUUGUUGCAGAACUCUUUUAGUUGAUUCCAUCCAAUUCUCUGCUGUGGAUGGACCUACUCCUUUCAGACCCAAAAAUUUAGUGGCACCUUAUUUUCUUAAUUUUUUUAUUGGGGCUCGUCUCGGAGUAGGUCUGAAUGUCGUAACAUGAGCAGUUCCCGCUACCCUUUGUAAGGCAUCAGCAAUUACUCCUAAUAAAUCAGAAUCAUCCCUAUCUCUCACAUUUCCCCUAUCUACUCUAGGGGGUUGAUUUCUCAUCGGGUUUAUACUAGGUAUUAUUGAUUCAGUUUCAUCUAAACUGUAUGAUUUUUCAUCUCCGGUGUACAUUUUUGGUCAGUAUCAUUUAUUCGUUCACCUGACGUCUUUAAUCUAUAAAAUAGAAACAAAUAAAUAGGUCAGCAUCCAAAUCUCGACUCAGUUUCGACUCAAUACUGGCAUGUACCUCUAGACUCACUUUCGAGCUCGAUUUAGCCCGAGAAUCAGCUAAACUGAAUAGCUCUAAUACCAACAACUGUAACACCCCCUAACCCUAAACUGUCAUCGAAACAAGGUUACGGAGCAUGACCAGACAUAUCGGACAAUUUACAAAUAAUUCAUAAAUAAAUUAACAUACAUAGUAUAAUUUAAUCAUUAAAUCCCUAUAAUGGACCCUCGAGACCCAAAACAUGUUUUAGAACUAGAACGGGAUUUGUUCGAGUACUCCAAAAAUUUUUUGUAAUUUUUUUGAACUCAAUAUAACCCCUUUAUAAAUAUCUAACAUUCCCUGCAAUUUCAAAUCGUAACCAAUUUACAAUUAAUAUGGAAACCAACACAUUUUCACAUUCAAAUAUACUUCAGUCAUGCCUAAAACAUUGACUUAUCAAAUUGAUCAACAACAUUCAUGAUACUAUAUAAAAGUUAACUAACAAACUUCAUUUAUCUCAUUUCAACUUUAGUACCAAACAUACCAUUUUAUAACUUAACAUUUCAUUUAUCAUUCAAACAUUAAAGACCACUUCUUUACAACCAAAACUCACAAGACUCUUAAAUAAGACCUAGGUACAUGCCACAUUUACCAAAAGGAAAAAAAUACAUCACCAAAGUUGUGCUGAAAUCAGGAUUGAUCUGGAUGCUAAACCGAGACCUUUGACUUCUACUGACCUGCGCACGGAAACAACCGUACGCUGAGUAUGUCUAUACUCAGUGGUAUUACCAUAAUUCAAACUUUAUAACAUUAAUGAAUUAUAAAUAUCAAUCAUAUAACAUUUUAAAUCAUAAGAACUAAUUUACAUUCAAAUUCAUAUAUCAUCUAUAACAUUUCAUAAACUAAUAUCAUAUAUCAACAAUUUGGUCUUUUAUCAAAUUCAUGAACCUUAGGUUCAGGCUUUCAAAUCUCACAUCCUAUUUCAAUUCACAAUUCGAUUCACAAUUUCUUUUUCAUACUUUCAAUAGUACGAUUAAUCAAAUUCAUUCAAUUUUCUCAUUUCAUUUAUUUACCCUAUUAACAAAACUCGGACCUUGACGGAUACACAAAUUCCAACCAAACACACUAGAAUGAUCCAUCCAAACACACCAAAACAAUCCUCCCAAACACACUAGAAUAAUCCACCCAAACAAACCAGAAUGGCACUAAGUGCCUCUUCGGAUAGUCCGAAUAAAUAUAGUAACAUCAAUGUCUCCUCGGCCAAGCCAAAAAUCCCCAAAUUCUUCCAAUCCUAUGAUAUACGAACUAUAUCCGACUCAACCCAACUAGUUAAUAGGGUAUUCAAUUUUCAUAUUUCAAUCCCAUCACUUUCUCAUAUUUCCAAUUCAAAUCAUUCUCAAUUUAAUCACAGUUCAAUUCAAUACAAUUUUCCACUUUCCAAUCAAUAUAUCAUCAAAUAUUCAUACAUAAUCAUUCUUCAUCUCAAUUUCAAUCAUUUCAAUAUUGAUAAUUACCUUAUAAUUUACUUACCAUACAUAUAAAUUUAAAUAUAACAUUAAUAAAUAGUAGUUCGAAUUAUAGUGAUACGAACCGUGGUUUUCUCGUGUCUACUCCUAGAUAACUUUUUCCUUUCCUUUUUGAGCCGAUGCCUCUGGUUCUUUGCUAGCAAACUAAGCUCCACGCUUUAAAACCCUAAUUUUUUCUUUUUCUCCCUUCCUUUCUCUGUUUCAUUUCACUCUCUAUUUCUUUUUAUGCUUUGUUUCUUUUAUUCUUUUUAUGUGUUGUUUACUUUAUUAGUUUUAUAAUAAUAUAAUAAUAAUUAUUUAAUUAAUAAAUAUCUUUAUACUUAAAUUAUAAGUAAUUAUUUAUUUAUUUUACAAGUGUAUAAAUAUAUGCAUUACAGAUGUAUAAUUUAAUCACCAUACAUCUGACAUAAUUUAGUUUAUUUUUAUAAUAUAAUAUUUAUAAUAAUUUAAUUUAAUAAUAUAUUUUAUAAUUAAAUCAUAUAUAAUUAUGUAAUUAAAAUCUAAAGUAUCUAAGAUUUUAGCAUGGUUUGCUGCUUCAUUUAUGAGGAUUGGCCUAAUUUCCCUUUUAGUCCUUUUUAUUUUCUUUUAAUCUACAAUUUAAUUUUUACCCUUUAUUCACUUUAGUCCAUUUUUUCCUAAUUACUCUUAAUUAAGCUAAAUUCACUUAAUAAAAACCUAAUUAGACACACAACUAGGCUCAUAAUUAUUUCUAAUAAAUAUUUACUAAUUCGGUUUACCAAGACGAAGGCCCGAAAAUGUACCUUUUCGAUGCUCGUGAAUUUUGGGUCAUUAUACAAAAUACAGUAGUUGAUAAUAUGGUCAAGUGUAUCAUUGGUUUGAAGAACCAUUACAAUCAGCUAGAAGUUUAAAUGAGGCGGAUUAUGUUCUUGCUUUGAGUCACUAAUGUCAUUUUUUGAGUUUUUAACUUUAAGUUGUCUUUUUUGUACCAAAAAAAAUGUGUACAAAUACUUUACACCACAUGAAUUAUUGAGAGGAGAAAAUUAUAUUAGUUGUAUAUUUUUUUUAUAAUUUUGUAUAAGAUAAAUAUUUUAAUAACUGUUGCAUGUUAUAUUUAUGUAAUAUGGUAUGCAAAGGUUUUUUUUAUUGUUUAUAUAUGUUUACAAUUUAUAUUCAGUGUUUGUGGUUAUUCUUUCCAACAAUAUUGUUUCUAAAGUUCAAAGUUGUAUCUCUCUUUAAGAAUGCAAAAUAUCUUACCAUUACACUUAGCACUUGAGCAAAUGAAAAUUCCACUAAAAGUCUUUCACUUGCUUUUCUUUUAAGGGUAAAGUACAAAAAUAUCACUAAACUAUUGACUUUGUUCUAUUUUAGUCACUCAAUUAUUACUUUUUUUAUUUAAUCACUAAACUUUUCAAAAUUAGAUAUUUUAGUCACUCUUAUGUUAGUUAUCAUUAGAUGAUUAACGAAAAGUUGAUGUGAACCUUUUUUAUUGGUCUAAUAAUAAAUUCAACCCUCUAAUGUUUACACAUUCUAUUAAUUUGAUCCCAAAUAUAAAAAAAAUAAACAAAUUUAGCCUUCAAUGUUUACAAAAUUUGUCAUUUUAGUUCAAAUUCUAAAAACUUUAAUAAAUUUAGCUCUCAGCAUAUACAAAAUGAUACGUUUUGAUUUUUAAAAAUUUAUCCUAAACUUUUAGUCGUCGGAUCUCUUUUAUCAAUGUCAAGUUUAUAUAUUUAAAAUAUUAUCCUAAACAUUAAGGGUUAAAUUUGUUGAAUUUUUUAAUAUUUAGGAUCAAAUUAAUAAAAUGUGUAAACAUUAAAUAGCUAAAUUUGUUAUUAGACCAAUAAAUAAAACUCGCAUCAGCUUUCCACCACUCAUCUAAUGGUAACUAACGGGAGAGUGGCUAAAAUAUUUAAUCUCGAAAAUUUUAGUGACUAAAUUAAAAAAAUUAAUAGUUGAGAGAUCAAAAUUGAAUAAAGUUAAUUGUUUAGUUACUACCCUUUUUUAAAUGAGGCAGGCAUUCACCUUUUAAUACAUAACCUUCCAUGUUGCUUUUACGGUUACUUUUUAUGCAUUUAGAAUAAUAUAAAUUUAUAUAUAAGUAGUACUUUUAUAGAAAAUACAGUGCAAAUUAAUAAGUAAUCAUUACUGAAAAUCAUUAAAAUUAUAUAAUAUUCAAAAACAAAUGAAUUUUGAAUUUCAUCAUAAAUAAUUGGUAGUAGAAUUUGAUUUAAUUUGUAGGUGUACAUUAAUAAUAGAUAAAAUUAAUUGUAAUUUUAAUUUAUUCAAAUUAUUAAAAUAACCACUAAUUUUUAAAAUUAAUGUUAAAACAUUAAUUUGAAGUUUUAGCUUUAAUAUUAAAAAUUAUUUUUUAACAUUUUAUAUUUCAAAUAUUUUUUAAAUUUAAAAUCAAAUAACAAUAUUAUUAACUAAAAAAAUUGUAUUAAAUAUAAUCAAAUUAAACUAUAUGAAUUUAUUUACAUUGAUAACAUAAACAAGAACUCAAAUGUUCAUUUACAACCUUAACUUUAAGCAACUAAACGAUAAAUCGAUUUUGCAAACAAAUUAUUAGCUCUUGGUAUCGAAAGGCCGAACUUCUCAGUCAUGUCGAGUUUAUUAGGCAACAUUUUAUUAGGCAACUCCCAAUCAAAACAAUGGACUAAUUAAGCUAAAAUUAGACGCAUACUGGUUACGCCUAACUGCAUUCCAGGGCAUCUUCUAUGACCAGUUCCGAAAUCAUGCCCUCGAAGGUCUAUCUUUCUAUCCUUGAAUCUUUCUGGAAAGAACUCUUCGACAUUGCUCGACCACAUUUUGGGGUUUCGCGCUAUGGACCAAGUGUUCACCAAAAGCCGUGACUUCUUAGGUAUGAAAUAUCCAUUAACGAUGACAUCUUCGGUCGACUCGUGCGGGACUAACGACAGUGCCAUGGGAUGCAACCUGAAACUCUCUUUGAUGACCAUAUCCAAAUAUUAGCUGUAUAUCACAGCCACGUUGCUAGCCUAUUUGCUGUGUGAUGCAGCCACGUCGCAAGAUAACUGUAACGUUCUUUGUCCCUAUUAUCCAUUUUGUUACAAAGGAC